AUUGAACGCUAGCGGGAUGUCUUACACAUGCAAGUCGAACGAGUGGCGAACGGGUGAGUAAUGUAUCGGAACGUGCCCAGUAGCGGGGGAUAACUACGCGAAACGUAGCUAAUACCGCAUACUAUUGGAGCGGCCGAUAUCGGAUUAGCUAGUUGGUGGGGUAACGGGUCACCAAGGCGACGAUCCGUAGCUGGUUUGAGAGGACGAGCAGCAACACUGUGACUGAGACACGGCCCAGACGCCAACGGGAGGCAGCAGUGGGGAAUUUUGGACAAUGGGGGAAACCCUGAUCCAGACAUCCCGCGUGUGCGAUGAAGGCCUUCGGGGUGUAAAGCACUUUAAGUUGGGAGGCGUUACCAACAGAAUAAGCACCGGCUAACUUCGUGCCAGCAGCCGCGGUAAUUC
rnacentral:rRNA from 1 species